rnacentral:rRNA from 1 species
UACAGGGGCCUCGAGCAUUAUCCGGAAUCAUUGGGCGUAAAGGGUGUGUAGGCGGUUUAGUUAGUCUCUUGUAAAAGCCCGCAGGCUUAACCUGUGGAAUGCGGGGGAAACGGCUAGACUAAGAGGACGCGAGAGGUAUAUGGAACUCAUGGUGUAGGGGUGAAAUCCGUUGAUAUCAUGGGGAACACCAAAUGCGAAGGCAAUAUACUGGCGCGCUCCUGACGCUGAAACACGAAAGCGUGGGAAUCGAACGGG